GACGAACGCUGGCGGGGUGCUUAACACAUGCAAGUCGAACGGAAAGGCCCUGCUUGCAGGGUACUCGAGUGGCGAACGGGUGAGUAACACGUGGGUGAUCUGCCCUGCACUUCGGGAUAAGCUUGGGAAACUGGGUCUAAUACCGGAUAGGACCGCACUUUAGUGUGUGUGGUGGAAAGUUUUUUCGGUGUAGGAUGAGCUCGCGGCCUAUCAGCUUGUUGGUGGGGUAAUGGCCUACCAAGGCGGCGACGGGUAGCCGGCCUGAGAGGGUGUACGGCCACAUUGGGACUGAGAUACGGCCCAGACUCCUACGGGAGGCAGCAGUGGGGAAUAUUGCACAAUGGGCGCAAGCCUGAUGCAGCGACGCCGCGUGGGGGAUGAAGGCCUUCGGGUUGUAAACUCCUUUCGCUAGGGACGAAGCUUUGUUGUGACGGUACCUAGAUAAGAAGCACCGGCUAACUACGUG
rnacentral:rRNA from 1 species